rnacentral:lncRNA from 1 species
CAAAUGCACAUUUUACUGAUAAAAACCACAAAGACUCAUAUUGUUUCUGGCUCUGAUUCCGAGUCCUCUCAAGUUGUUGUUGAAUCUUCCUCCUGUAUAAACAAGUUAACAUUGGAAAAAACUAUAGACACAGGCUGCUGAACAAGCCGGAAGUUCUGAUCGUCUUUGUGGGGUCUCUGGUGCAAACGGAGUCGGCUCAUAUAUCGGAGAUGCACCAGAUCGGGUUCCUGGAAAGAAGAAAGAAAAAAGCUUGUUAAAAUGAAAGAGAAAAUAGCAAACCAACCUUCCAAGCAACAAGUUGUCGAGACGAGUGAGAGUAAGUCAGCUCCCUUCAGGAAAUCCUUGAACUUCUCCAGCAUAUCAUUGCCUGUGGUGAACGCUGCUUUCUCUUUAUGGAACAGAUCCCCGUAAGAGCCUGUAGCUACACCCUCAGCUCCUCAGUGGAGAUAAAGCUCCACAAGGCCCUGAGCACUGUUGCGAUCAAACCGGAGAUUCAAAGCCGCAGAGUGUCCCUGCAAGAUGGUCACAGCGGAAGCAAACACCUGAUUCAGGGGUCCCUGGACAAGUGCUGCCAGCUUUCCUACUGAUCGAGCUGGUCCCUGUGCCACCCCGCUCAAGCGAAACACGAGAGUAGCUUGGCCAAAGCACUGGCGCUGGACUAGAGCCGCCAGAAAGUGGCGAUGUUGUGACCAGUCUUAUUGGCGGCUUCCAAGGCAAAGGCCACAGUGAGGGAGCGCAAGUCUGCGAUCGCAGAGCCAAGUCCAUGUUGACACCUAAGAUCACAAAUUAUACUAGAUUCUAAAGGAAUGAGCUUACACUAGAACACACUGCAGUGUGUGUUUG